CAACGAGGAGCAAAAGGAAAUGAUAAGCGGUUUUCAGCAAGGUAUUCUCUGCAAGCACUGAAAUUAUAGGUAUCAGAUAGUUUUGUGAUAGGAUAAUUUGUAACGAGCAACAAGUAA